CUGGAGUAUCCCGAAAAUCCAUAAAGAGUAGGGA
rfam:Nitritalea halalkaliphila LW7 Contig77, whole genome shotgun sequence.